rnacentral:rRNA from 1 species
UGCUCUUGACAUGUCAGGAAUACCUAAGAGAUCAGGUAGUGCCUUCGGGAAUCUGAACAC